CGGAAAUGUUUCUUACAAAAGAAAAGAAAUGGGCUACAUCAAAUUAUAAAUCUGUCCCCAAUGCUCUUCUGCUGUGAACCUCAUCUUUAUUACAUGGUUAGUAGUUUUUCUUAACAUUCAUAUAUAGUAAUGUAUAACUAACAAUCCUUGAUUAAUGUACUUUCCUUUUCUUUCUCUUUUAGUAACAAGUGGCUGUUCAGGCAGUGUAUUGCAAAGGAGAGUUGAAGGGGAGUUCUUGCAAAUUCCUACUGUACCAUGUUCUUCGCUGAGCUUGACUGGUACUCAACAUGAUAGGUGGAGAUCUUCGGUAAAAAAGGCAGGCAAUCAGGGAAAAAAAAAGAGAAUCACAUCGAUCAUGGUUGCCAUCUCCAAGGAUGACACUAUACAUACCAGAAGGGCCUGUGUGAUCAAGUCUCUGUGCACCCACUUGAAUGAAGACCCUGAAAAACUAGUGAAGGCAUAUUUGAUUCAGACAGAGUCACAAAGUACCAUGGAGCAAACUGAAGGGAGUGUAUGUUAUACUGAAGGAGGGAGCACUGCCUGAUGAUGACCCACAGGACACUGGUCUCCUAAUUGAAGGUGUGGAAGUCCUCAGUGACUUGAGUCGCAUUGUGCAGGCUUGUUCUCUGUUAUUUGGACUGAUAUGUUGUUUGAACCUGAGCUACUCCCCAGAGCUCAAAUGCACAUGCAGGAGAUCCUUCUAAAUCUAAAUGGACAGAGGUUGCAAUCCAAGGCACAGAUCAACAACAAACUUUGAGAUAAUGACCUUGAAAAAGAAAGAAAAGUUAAACUAAAUGCACUUGGAGUUCCUUAUGUAUAUGGACAACUUUUUUUUGCCACCGUUCCUCCAAACAAGCUACUGGAGCAAUUGAGCUUGAACAGGACUGGUGUACUUCAGGAAGAUGUACAUUUGUAGUUAGAUAGAAACUCUUUUUAGACCACUUAUUUAUUGCAUAGUUACUUUAAACGUGGUGCUGGAGAAAGUGAGUAGAAGCAGUUGUUACACAUUUACAAAUAUUUUCUGGGAGUGAUUUUCUUAGUUUCCGAUGUAAUGCAACAUGGUAAUUUAGAAUUAUCAAAAUAAAAAAAUAAAUUCAUAUUUAAAUUAGAAUGUCUUAUUUAAUUUUUUUUUUUUUUUGUGUGUGUCAGGCCAAAUUGUAAAUGGCUGCCCACUGCUCCGGGUGUGUGUGUGUGUGUGUUCAUGCUGUUUGUUUCACUUUGGAUGGGUUAAAUACAUAGCAUGAAUUCUGAGAAUGGGUCACCAUACUUGACAGUAUGUCAUGUCACUUUACAAAUUCCCCAAAAGGGUGGUGUUAAAAUGGCUUAAUUUAAUUCUUCUUAAAGAAAGGGCGUUAAAGGUUAAAAGUAUUGUUUGGGGAUCUGUUUUUGCUAAGAGCCUUUUCAAGAUUCUGUUGGCUAAAUGUUUCCUAUACAUUGUGUUACAAACACUCAAAUGAAUAGGAGACUUAAAGUGACUAAAGCGGUUUAAACUUUAUUGGUGCAUGUUAAAGCCUAAUAAAAUAUAUAUAUAUAUAUAUAUAUAUAUAUAUAUAUAUAUAUAUAUAUAUAUAUAUUGUUAGCAUUUUUGUGUGCGUUUUUGUUGUUUUUGUAUAUUACUGAAUUUUUGGUAUUGUUUUGCUGCUUAGCGCUGUCUUCUAAAACAAAUCUAAUUGAAACAACAAGAUAGAUUUUCAUUAAACCUACCAAAACAAGACAUGAACUAGUUGAUGUAACAAGGCAGAAUUUUGUUGAAUUGAAGUGCUUUACUGACAUGGAAUGAAUAAGAGUAAAUUUGAUUAGACUAACACAAUACACACAUUUUGAUUCAAUUAGUUGCAAAGAAGUUAAAUUGACAUAUCCCAAACAUGUUUAAUCUACAAAUGUAUAUUGUGUUCAUAUAACUCAAUCAAAGCAGUCCAAGUUUACUUGAUUUGGUUAGAUGCAUAAUGGGUGCUACGAUUAAAUCACGUUCAUUCAACAAAAAAAAUUUUUGAGUGUAUUUAACCUUAUGUGUCAAUGGAGGGCAGAGCAACAGUAGAUUUGCUCUUAGUAAUAGACAUAGUCUUG
ensembl:lncRNA